rnacentral:rRNA from 1 species
CCUACGGGAGGCAGCAGUGGGGAAUUUUGGACAAUGGGCGCAAGCCUGAUCCAGCAAUGCCGCGUGAGUGAAGAAGGCCUUCGGGUUGUAAAGCUCUUUUGUCAGGGAAGAAAAGGCUACGGAUAAUACCUGUGGCUCAUGACGGUACCUGAAGAAUAAGCACCGGCUAACUACGUGCCAGCAGCCGCGGUAAUACGUAGGGUGCAAGCGUUAAUCGGAAUUACUGGGCGUAAAGCGUGCGCAGGCGGUUUUGUAAGACUGUCGUGAAAUCCCCGGGCUCAACCUGGGAAUGGCGAUGGUGACUGCAAGGCUAGAGUUUGGCAGAGGGGGGUAGAAUUCCACGUGUAGCAGUGAAAUGCGUAGAUAUGUGGAGGAACACCGAUGGCGAAGGCAGCCCCCUGGGUCAAAACUGACGCUCAUGCACGAAAGCGUGGGGAGCAAACAGGAUUAGAUACCCUGGUAGUCCACGCCCUAAACGAUGUCUACUAGUUGUCGGGUCUUAAUUGACUUGGUAACGCAGCUAACGCGUGAAGUAGACCGCCGNGGGAGGUACGGUCGGUCGAAGUUAAGUUAAACGUAACGUUAAAGGAAAGUUAGUUACGGCGUUGAGACGNGCCGACGGACGACGACGAGGGAGGAGG